rnacentral:misc_RNA from 1 species
AAGUCGUAACAAGGUCUCCGUAGGUGAACCUGCGGAGGGAUCAUUACACACGUAUCCCAAAUACGUUUCAAACCAAACCGUGCUCUUUACAUUUUUCCCUGCAUUGUUUCAGUGAUUAUGUGACAAAAGGUGGAUUGAUGUAUACCCUUUUUGGGUGUAUGUCAAUGCAUGUAAUCUUUAACUGUUACUUUGCAGUAGUAAUUUUUAGCCACCUGGCUACUUGUGCCAACCCGGUUCCGACCCGGAGCCUUGUAGCCUUAUUGCUCCCAUUUUUUUUACCCCUUUAACAACAUACUAAUAACUGAACCAUGUUCAUGCAGUUGCUUGUCUGACUUCUGUCAGUGCAUGUUGGCUCAUGAUACGAUAUACGUAAUGCUGAACAACUCUUAGCAAUGGAUAUCUUGGUUCUC